rnacentral:rRNA from 1 species
CCCUUAGAUGUUCUGGGCCGCACGCGCGCUACACUGAUGCAUUCAACGAGUCUAAAACCUGGUCUGAUAGGGCCGGGUAAUCUUUUGAAAGUGCAUCGUGAUUGGGAUAGAUGAUUGCAAUUCUUCAUCUUCAACGAGGAAUGCCUAGUAAACGCAAGUCAUCAGCUUGCAUUGAUUACGUCCCUGCCCUUUGUACACACCGCCCGUCGCUCCUACCGAUUGAAUGAUCCGAUGAAUACCAUGGAUUGAGAGUACGAAUAGGUUCGCUUAUUUCUGCUGCUCGAGAAGUGGAGUAAAUCUUAUCAUUUAGAGGAAGGAGAANUCGUANCA